GACGAACGCUGGCGGCGUGCUUAACACAUGCAAGUCGAACGGAGUGGCGAACGGGUGAGUAACACGUGGGUGAUCUGCCUUGCACUUCGGGAUAAGCUUGGGAAACUGGGUCUAAUACCGGAUAGUGCAAGAUGAGCUCGCGGCCUCUCAGCUUGUUGGUGGGGUAAUGGCCUACGAAGGCGUCGACGGGUAGCCGGCCUGGGAGGGGGUACGGCGACAUUGGGACUGAGAUAGGGCCCAGAGGCGUACGGGAGGCAGCAGUGGGGAAUAUUGCACAAUGGGCGGAAGGCUGAGGCAGAGACGCCGCGGGGGGGAAGAAGGCCUUCGGGUUGUAAACUCCUUUCGACAGGGACGCGGUACCUGUAUAAGAAGCACCGGCUAACUACGUGCCAGCAGCCGCGAUAAUUC
rnacentral:rRNA from 1 species